AGAAUCAACGCUGGCGGCGUGCCUAACACAUGCAAGUCGAACGAGAAAGGGUAGCAAUACCUGAGUAAAGUGGCGCACGGGUGAGUAACAUGUGACUAACCUACCCUGGAGUGGGGGAUAACUGGGAGAAAUCCUAGCUAAUACCGCAUAACACCUACGGGUCAAAGGAGCAAUUCGCUUCAGGAGGGGGUCGCGGCAGAUUAGAUAGUUGGCGGGGUAAUGGCCCACCAAGUCAGUGAUCUGUA
rnacentral:rRNA from 1 species